rnacentral:rRNA from 1 species
UACGUAGGGUGCGAGCGUUGUCCGGAAUUACUGGGCGUAAAGAGCUCGUAGGUGGUUUGUCGCGUUGUUCGUGAAAUCUCACGGCUUAACUGUGAGCGUGCGGGCGAUACGGGCAGACUAGAGUACUGCAGGGGAGACUGGAAUUCCUGGUGUAGCGGUGGAAUGCGCAGAUAUCAGGAGGAACACCAAUAGCGAAGGCAGCUCGCUGGGACGUUACUGACACUGAGGCGCGAAAGCGUGGGGAGCGAACAGG